rnacentral:ncRNA from 1 species
AUAAAAUAAUUAUGUUUUUGGAAAUUUAUUAUAAAUUUAUUUUACAUAUAAAUUUUAGUAUAUAAUUUUAAUUAUUUAAAUAAUAAUUAAUUUAUUUUAGGUAGUAAUUAAUAUUAAAAAUUUAAGAAAUUAAGAUUUAGUAAUAUAAAAAUUAAUAACUAAUUUUGUGCCAGCAGUUGCGGUUAGACAAAAGUUAAAUUAAAUUAUUUCAGUAUAUAAUAAAUAAUAAAAUCAUUAAAAUAAAUAUUAAAUUAUUAAGUGAAAUUUUAAUUUAAUUAAAUUUUAUUUUAAAUUUAUGAUUUAAUAAAUUUUGAUAUAAACUAGGAUUAGAUACCCUAUUAUUAAAAAUUUAAUUUAUAAUACUAAAAUAGUAAAUAAUAAUUUAUUGAAACUUAAAUAAUAUGGCGGUAUUUUAGUUCAUUUAGAGGAAUCUGUCUAAUAAUUGAUAAUCCACGAAUAAAUUUACUUAAUUUAUAAUUUUGUAUAUCAUUGUUAAAAAAAUAUUUUUUAGGAAAAAUAAUAUUUAAAAAUUAUAAUAAAAAAUUAAAUCAGAUCAAGAUGCAGAGUAUAAUUAAGAAUAUGAUGGAUUACAUUAAAUAUAUUUAUAUGAAUAAUUUUAUUGUAAUAAAAAUUUGAAGGUGGAUUUAAAUGUAAUUUUAAUUAAUUUAUUAAAAUGAUUAAAAAUUAAAAUAUGUACAUAUUGCCCGUCACUUUCAUUUAAAAAUUGAAAUAAGUCGUAACAAAGUAGAGGUACUGGAAAGUGUUUCUAGAAAGA